rnacentral:lncRNA from 1 species
GGAGUGUUGGAAUCUUUGGGAUUCAGUUGAGAGAGAAACUGUCACUCUGGAGCUGAAGAGGAAAGGAGAGAAGUGUGGCUGAAUCUGUCAGAAGAUCAAUUCCCAAGACACUAGCCUGUGAAGAUCCUUUAGCUGUGGUGAGGAUUUACUCUUCAAUCAUCUGCUGGUCAGGGCUGGAGGAGCUGUCUUCAACUUGGAGGAGUUAUCAACUGUGGACAUUCCACCUUGGAUUCCUGUUUUGGCUCCCAGAGCCUCUAUUAAAUAAUUGGGAGCCACAGAAGGUGUUUGAACAAGAGACAUGACAGACCUAUGUCUUGAGGAAGAUUACUUUGCUGGAGUUAGGUGGAGCAUGGGUUGGAGAAGGCAAAGACUUCAAGCAAGACAGUGAAAUGAGCGGCCAUCAAUAUAGUCCAUGCAAAAAAAAAAAAAGAUAAGAGCCUAAAUUGGCAACAGUCAUGGGAAUAGAGCAAAAGAUGCUAUCAUCCAAUUUAAGUUUAAACAAGCAAUUGCUAUAAAUUAUUUAUUUGAAAUCCUAAAGAAAACACACGAUGAGGGAAUAAAAUCCUUUAAUACUGUGUCA